rnacentral:rRNA from 1 species
UACGUAGGGUGCAAGCGUUGUCCGGAAUUAUUGGGCGUAAAGAGCUCGUAGGCGGUUUGUCGCGUCUGCUGUGAAAACUCGGGGCUUAACCCCGAGCCUGCAGUGGAUACGGGCAGACUAGAGGUAGGUAGGGGAGAAUGGAAUUUCCGGUGUAGCGGUGAAAUGCGUAGAUAUCGGAAGGAACACCAGUGGCGAAAGCGGCUUCCUGGUCCAGCACCGACGUUCAGGCACGAAAGCGUGGGGAGCAAACAGG